rnacentral:rRNA from 1 species
AUUGAACGCUGGCGGCAGGCCUAACACAUGCAAGUCGAACGAGUGGCGGAGGGGUGGGUAAUGUCUGGGAAACUGCCUGAUGGAGGGGGAUAACUACUGGAAACGGUAGCUAAUACCGCAUACCAUCGGAUGUGCCACGAUGGGAUGAGCUAGUAGGUGGGGUAACGGCGAACCUAGGCGACGAUCCCUAGCUGGUCUGAGAGGAUGACCAGCCACACUGGAACUGAGACACGGUCCAGACUCCUACGGGAGGCAGCAGUGGGGAAUAGUGCACAAUGGGCGCAAGCCUGAUGCAGCCAUGCCGCGUGUAUGAAGAAGGCCGUCGGGUUGUAAAGUACUUUCAGCGGGGAGGCGUUACCCGCAGAAGAAGCACCGGCUAACUCCGUGCCAGCAGCCGCGGUAAUUC